CGCUGCUAUUCAUAUGCAAAUUGGAGGCGUUCGCACCUCCGGGAGCUCCGCUGACGUCAUGGUUCGUUUCCGACAAUUUUCGGCACAGACAAACGCCACGUUCACAGCCGGUAAAUUGCCCCAAUAAUACCCAACUGCAGCCACUGCGACCCCCGAAGCCACUACAAACCACGCCCCAUAAAACCACGCCUACUUGUUGCUACGGUGGCCGGGAAGGACGAUUAAACUCACAGCAGCAAAUGCAAGCAGUCAAAGAAGAAGAAGAAGAAGGCAAAAGCAGCCAAGACAAGACGGCAAUGCCAGUUCAGAGUCCACAGGACAUCGACCACAUGUACAGCAAGAGGCCUUACAGCUCUCCACCCAGAGAGCAUGUUAAUGACUAUAAUGACAGCAUGGACUAACAUGAUGUGGUCACCACAACCAGAGACGUUGGGAUCCUGAGUGAAGACGCAUCUUUCGACAGGCUUGUGGUGAGGACAUGCAAAGGAUCAACAAACAACAAAUCUUAUUUGAUAUACUUAACCAGAAUAAUUACGUUUAACAUCUGAAUGCUGUUUGAUCAAAUUUUAGGAAAGGGCUCAGCAAGCUGAACACCAUAGAAAAGUCACUAGUGACCUUCAUGUAACGUUCAUCACUCAGGAUAACGGUCUACUGCAACAUCUUGAAGUGAGUUUGAAAAUGGAAUUUAAGUCACAUAGUGUAACUAAUUUUGGUCAAAAUAUGUUAAAUGAAUGAUUUAAGUGAAACAUUUUCUGUUAGCCUAGUGUUCGUACAUUUAUUUUGAGCAUUCUCCUAAGAAAUAUAUAUAUUUACAGGCGGUCAUCACAUGAAAAGUUACAUCCUCAUGGGCAACAUCAAAGGGCAGGGUGAUCAUUUUCUUUGUGGAGGAUGAGCAGCUGGACAGAGUGCUGGGCUUCUUGACAAGCCUGGUUGAAGCACAGACAACCAGGUGUCACAAUCACGUGGCAUUUGUUAUGGAUGUGCUUCUGCCAGAGGUAAAUUAUGAAACUUUUUUAUUUAUUAUAUUAACAUGUUUUGUAUAAUUGUUAUUAUUGUCAGUCUUUAACUUAUGGUUAAUAUCUUGUUAACUGCAACAUGACAGACAACUUAAAUGUCUAAAUGAAAGAUGUCCUUUUGUUCACCUCAUGACACAGGCAACAGUCCACGCCCUUUCAGCUGUCCAUGCAUUUUCCAUUGACAGAGCCACAGAAGUGUAUAAAUGUUGACUGCAGUAUGACUUGAGGUAUGCUACAUACAUAAGGAGAGUGCUAAUACCUAUAAGUAUUGUUUUUUACCUUGUUUAUGACAGCCUUUCCGUGUUAAUUUCCUUUUACUAAUCGCUAUUUUCUUCCAUUUUGUCUCAUCAGUGAAAAACGGCUGUUGGCUCAUUACAUGACAAACAACAUGAGCAAGGAGGCUCUACAGCAACUAGAAAAAUAUGCUGAAAAACUCAGAAGAGCUCUGGACUCUGAGGAGUUUUUGAAGACGCUUUAGUAUGUAUGUAGGAUGAAUUAAAAAAUAGUCUGUGAAAUGAUAAUGUUUUAUUUUAUUGCCAAUAAAAGUUGUUGCUGGCUAAUUCAUUUGUCUCAACUUUUGUGUUUUGAGGUACAUAUUUUAAAGACCUGUGUAUGGUCAUAUUUAUAAAUGCAUAAAUACAUUUUAUUUGUGUCCAGCAGUCUUUUCUGUUAACCCAU
ensembl:lncRNA